rnacentral:rRNA from 1 species
GGGAUCCGAUUUUAGCAUGGAAUAAUAAAAUAGGACGUGUGGUUCUAUUUUGUUGGUUUCUAGGACCGCCGUAAUGAUUAAUAGGGACAGUCGGGGGCAUCAGUAUUCAAUUGUCAGAGGUGAAAUUCUUGGAUUUAUUGAAGACUAACUUCUGCGAAAGCAUUUGCCAAGGAUGUUUUCAUUAAUCAAGAACGAAAGUUAGGGGAUCGAAGACGAUCAGAUACCGUCGUAGUCUUAACCAUAAACUAUGCCGACUAGGGAUUGGACGAUGUUACUUUUAUUGCACUCGUUCAGCACCUUAUGAGAAAUCAAAGUUUUUAGGUUCCGGGGGGAGUAUGGUCGCAAGGCUGAAACUUAAAGGAAUUGACGGAAGGGCACCACCAGGAGUGGAGCCUGCGGCUUAAUUUGACUCAACACGGGGAAACUCACCAGGUCCAGAAAUCUAGA